AAGAGUCCCCUCUUCAGUUGUGAUCUUGCUUAAUGAGUAUUAACCUGUUUUAUCUCCCCUGAAAGAUUGUGAGUUUUCUGAUACAAGGUGUGAUGGACUAUAUUAGAUAUAGCAUAAUAGCUAUACUAGGUGAGGUCUCUAAGGAGGUGACAGUUGUUGAGGGACCAAUUAGGCAAAGAGCUGGGGUAAGAUGACCUGGUCAGAGGGGACAGCAUAGCUCCAAAGCAGAAAAGAGUUUGGUGGAGUUCCCAUCGUGGCGCAGUGGUUAACGAAUCCGACUAGGAACCAUGAGGUUGCGGGUUCGAUCCCUGGCCUUGCUCAGUGGGUUAGGGAUCCGGCGUUGCCGUGAGCUGUGGUGGGGGUCACAGACGCAGCUCGGAUCCCGUGUUGCUGUGGCUCUGGCGUAGGCCAGUGGCUACAGCUCCAAUUGGACCCCUAGCCUGGGAACCUCCAUAUGCCGCGGGAGCGGCCCAAGAAAUAGCAAAAAAAAAAAAAAAAAGAGUUUGGUGAGUUUGAGGGACAGGAAGGAUGAGCAAGAAAAAGAUGGAGAGACAUGAGAACAGAGUGGUCAUCAGGGUAGAUCAUAUCCCUUGUAGUUUGUAGUGUAUGGUAUGGAUUUUGAUCUUUUUUUUUUUUUUUUUGGCGUUUUAGGGCCACGCCUAAGGCAUAUGGGAGUUCCCAGGCUAGGGGUUGCACUGGAGAUACAGCUGUUGGCCUACACCACAGCCACAGCAACUCAGGAUCCCAGCGACAUCUGCAACCUUCACCACAGCUCACAGCAAUGCCAGAUCAUCGACCCACUGAGUGAGGACAGGGAUCGAACCUGCAUCCUCAUGGAUACUAGUUGGAUUCGUUUCCACUGCACCACCAUGGGAACUCCCGGUCUUUAUUCUUUUUUAAAAAAAUAUUUAUUUAUUAAAUUUUUUUAUCUUUUUGGCCAUGCCCAUGGCAUGUGGAAGUUCCAGGGCCAGGGACUGAACCUGAGUCCCAGCAGUGACCCAAGCCACUGCAGUGACAACACCAGAUCAUUAACACACUGCACCACAAGAGAACUCCUUGACCUUUAUUCUUAAUGCAUUUUAAAGCCCUUAAAGGAUGGCAAGCAAAAUAAUCCAUCCUGUAAUAUGACUUAAUAUUUUUUUCUUUUUUUUUUUUUGAUGUCCUCUGGCAUAUGGAGUUCCUGGGCCAGGGAUGGACUCUGAGCUGGAGUUGUGACCUACGCCACAGGUGCAGCAAAAUGCCAGAGCCUUAACCUCCUGCACUGGGCCAGGGAUCAAACCCGCCUCCUCCCUGCUGCUGCAGAGACACUGUCGAUCUCGUGCCACAGCCGGAACUCCUGAUUUAAUUUUUUAAAUUAUCUCUCUGCUUGUGAAGAACGAUUGUAGGGAGGCAAAAGAGGAAACAGAGAUCAGAUAAGAGGCUGUUGUGGCAAUCCGAGCGACAGGUAAACCCAGGUGAUUUAGCUGGGUUGUGGGGGCAGUGAAAAAUGGACAGAAAUGGUGACUUUGAUGUGUAUUUUGGUGGUAGAACCACAAGGACUUGCUGAUGUAUCGGAUAUGGAUGUGAGGGAAAGGGAAGAAUCAAGGAUAAGAACUAGAUUUUUGGCCCGUGUAACUGGGUGGACGCUAGACUCCAUCCCUUUAGAAUAUAUCCAGAAUCUGGUCAUAUCUCACUGGCUCCUCCACUCUGUCCUGAUCCAAGUCCCCUGGAAUCAUUGCCUCUCACUUGCACUAUUGCACAGUUCCCUAAUGAGUCUUCCAGCUUUCGUCUUUACCGCCCCUCCUCCAAUUUCUUCACAGCAGCCAGAAUAUUCACACCAAAGUGGAAAUCUCCUCGUGUCAAGCCUCUGUUCAAAAUCCUCCAUCAUUCUUGGAAUAAAAGGUCAUGGUCAGCCCGUUGCCCCUCUGACCUCAUCUCUUGCUCCUCUCACUUGCUGUUUUAAAAACUUCAGUCCCCAUCCCCUGUAUUCUCUCUCCCUUCCCUGCUUUGUCUCUUUAGCCCUUAUUAUUGCUUAAUGCAUGACAUAAUUUACUUUUUUUUUUUCUAUUUAUUAUAUGUCCCCCAGCAGAAGAAUGGAGGCUCUGUGCAGGCAGGGUGUUUUGUCUGUUUUGUUCACUGUUACAGUAGGUGCUCAGUAAAUAUUUGUUUACUAUGUGUGUUAAAUAAACUUAUGGGAAGGGGAAGUCUGUGGGAGGAGCAGGUUAGUAUAGGGGUGGAAACGGAGAAUUUUGUUUAGCCAUGUUAAGUUUGAGGUAUCUUGGCAGAUGUUGAGUAGAGAGGUGGGCCCACCAAUCCAGUUAGGAAGGAGGCCUGGGCUAGAGAUACCUAUCAGAGAAUCAGUAUCAUGAAGAUAAUGGCAAUGCCUAGGGAGGGAGUGUAGAUAGAGAAUAAGGAAGGUUCAAGACCUGUGUCUGGGUAGGGUAAGGUAGAGGAGGAGCCAGCAAAGGAAUAAAAAGAAGAGUGUGCUGGAGUUCCUGUCGUGGUACAGCGGAAAUGAAUCCGACUAGGAACCAUGAGGUUGCAGGUUUGAUCCCUGGCCUCGCUCAGUAGGUUAGGGAUCCGGCGUUGCCAGGAGCUGUGGUGUAGGUCGCAGAUGCGGCUUGGAUCUGGCAUUGCUGUGGCUCUGGUGUAGGCCGGCAGCUAUAGCUCUGAUUCGACCCCUAGCCUGGGAACCUCCAUAUGCCGUGGGUGUGGCCCUAAAAAGACCAAAAGGGGGGGGGAAUAGGAGGAGUGAAGAGUGUGGAUAAGAAGAAAAGUUAGCAAGUGGCACCAAUCACCCAACCUCCAGUUGACUGUCCCUGGCUCAGAGUAAUCUUUCAUAGUGCAGCACCCUUCCCCUGGGAGAGAUGUGGCUUGUUGCGGGGGCCACAAUCACGGUUUCUCCUAGAUCUUUGUUCAGGGGCCCGAACUCCUUCAUUUGGGGGAUUAGGAAAUGAUGGUUAAGAAUACAGACCCUGGGAGUUCCUGUUGUGGCUCAGCGGCUUAACAAACCCGACUAGUAUCCAUGAGGAUGCAGGUUUGAUCCCUGGCCUUGCUCAGUGGGUUAAGGAUCUGGCAUUGCCAUGAGCUAUGGUGUAGGUCACAGAUUUGGUUCGGAUCCUGUGUGGCUGUGGCUAGGGGUCCAAUCGGAGCUGUAGUCUCCGGCCUAGGCCAGGGCCACAGCAACGCGGGAUCCGAGCCGCGUCUGCAACCUACACCACAGCUCACGGCAACGCCGGAUCGUUAACCCACUGAGCAAGGGCAGGGACCGAACUCGCAACCUCAUGGUUCCUAGUCGGAUUCGUUAACCACUGCGCCACCACGGGAACUCCAGGAAAGCAAGUAUUUUUAAAAUGUUAGCUGUUGGACCGCUGCCACGCCACCAUCAUGGACACAAGCCUUGUGCAGCCCAUCCAGCUUGCCAGGGUUACCAAGGUUCUGGGCAGGACAGGUUCGCAGGGACAGUGCACACAGGUGUGCAUAGAAUUCAGGGGUGACACCAGCCAUUACAUCAUCCGAAACAUGAAAGACCCCGGUCGCCAGGGCGGUGUGCUCACCCUUUUGGAGUCAGAGUGAGAGCCUUUGCGGAACUUGUGGCUCGGUCCUGGAUGUCUGGGUCGACCACCUGGCCCACCAUGAUCUGCUGUUAAUAAAGCGUUUAUAUUGUAU
rnacentral:lncRNA from 1 species